rnacentral:rRNA from 1 species
AUGGUCUGUUUUAAACUAUCAAGAGAACUGUGUGAACAUUUAAAUUCCAUUAUUAGGAAAUUUUGGCGGGGAUCCGCAGAGGGACAAAGGAAGCCAGCAUGGGUCUAUUGGGAAGUUAUGACACGGCCUAAAUAGGGCAGGCUAGAAUUUAGAGACAUGGAAAUGUUCAAUCUAGCCCGGCUUGCAAGGCAGUCAUGGAGGAUUAUUCAGGAGCCUAACUCUCUAAGUGCGAGAAUUUUGAAAGCUAUGUAUUUCCCAUAGGAUAAAACUCUUAAUGCAGAACUUGGCACAAAACCCACCCAGGUAUGCAGUGCAAUAUUUUAGGGGAGGGAUAUCCUGAAGCAAGGUUUGAUCUGAAGGAUAGGGAUUGGACAGGAGACUUUUAUUUGGUCAUACAAUUGUUUACCAUAA